ACUAUUGUGCGGAGCCGUGGACAUGUGCUGCUCUCCUUCCUCCUCGUCUCUUUUAUCCAUCCAUCCAGCGCCCUCCCACCCAUCUGUGCUUCUCUCCUUCCUCUUCUCUCUAUCCGUGGCUCGCGCACACAACACACCACGCACCCUUCUACUCCGGUCCAUGGUGCCACGUUCUCCUCUCUCUUCCCUCCUCCACAUCGCAAAGCACCACCCCUCCCUCCCUCCCCGCCCCUGGAGUUCGUUCUGUUGACCCCAUCUCUCUCUUCUCCUUCACCGACGUGACCACCCCCAUCUGCAACAGCUGGACGAUUCGAUUUCCCAGGCCGUCUCGCCCGUGACCGAUGGCUGCUUCGCGUUCGUCGGUCGGUUGCGGUGCGGCCGCAUAUGGGCUCCUAGUGACCGGGCUUGCGCGCGGGGGAGGGGGGUUGGCUGGGCCUGUGGUGGAGCCGCGACAGUGGUGGCCUGCUUCAGGGUCGAGCUCGGCGGCAGCUUGAUGGGGCCGCAUGGAUCUGCGUCGGGGCUCCAGGCUCCGGAUCGGCGUGGUCGUGUCCAGCCCGCCCUCCUCCACCGGUGCCUUGCUGUGGCGUUCCGGGCCAGAUCUCGGAUGGCUUGAGGGGCGGCUUGGAUCGUGGCCUAUGUAGUGUGGCUGACCUGGGACUGGUCCUGGGCGAGCAUGCACACGACGCUGCUGUUCGGCGAGUGGAGGUGCCACGGGGAGUGGCGCUGCCUUUCUGAGGACAGGGCAACUUCGACGGCGAGCUGGACGCGUGGGCGUCGUUCCUGCCAGGUGGCGUCCUCCUGCGGCGGCGCCGCGGUCACCGCGCAGCCGGACUAGAAGGCGACCGGUGAAAGCUUUGCACGACGGAGCCGUCGCGACUGACUUGGACGCCUGGCGCCAGCGGCGACGGCCUCGAGGCUCUUGGAGACGCCAAGCCACGCCUGGCCCUUUCCUCGAGCCUCCUAUCGCGCCCGAGUGGAUCUCCCGAGGCAGCCUCAUCCGCCUUCGGGCGCCGCCGGUAAGCAGAGCCGUCGUCCGUGGGCUCCCGCAAGCUCAGACCGCUGCGACCAGCCAGACGCGCGGUGGUGAGCCAGUCCAGUAAGAGAUAAGGGUCGCGGCCAUAAAUUUCUAAUAAAUGCAGGGGGUUUACGCAAAAUUAAACAUUUUCUAGGGUGCCACUUAAACAGGGAUUGCGGGUUUAUUCAAAGAAACAUAGGGGUUUUUCGGAAAAACGCCGACGACGUACGACCAGAAGCAGUAAUUGCUUUAUUAGUAGGUAGAGAAAUUAGUGGGAAGAGCUGGCAUCAUCUCAAACACUUGGACAGAAAAGUUUUUUCCUUUUAAAAAGUGGGGGGUGAGGGAGUCCUGAACUAAGGGGUCCUCGUGUGUCCGACCUGUUAGCCAUGGGUCGGACUGGUGGGCUGUGAAAGAUACGAAGACCGACGACUGCACCCGUGUUCGGAUAGGACUCUCCUUGCCGUGGAAGGCAAGCUUGGCGACUAGAUAUGUAGAUUCCUUUUUUGUAACCGACCUUGUGUAAUCCUAGAUCCUCUCGGUGUCUAUAUAAACUGGAGGACUUAGUCCGGAGGACAGACAUUACCAUAACCAUACAAGCUAGGCCUUUAGGGUUUAGCUAUUACGAUCUCGUGGUAGAUCAACUCUUGUAAUAUUCAUAUUCAUCAAGAUCAAUCAAGCAGGACGUAGGGUAUUACCUCCAUAGAGAGGGCCCGAACCUGGGUAAAACAUUGUGCCCCUGUCUCAUGUUACCAUCGACCAUAGACGCAUAGUUCGGGACCCCCUACCCGAGAUCCGCCGGUUUUGACACCGGCAUUGGUGCUUUCAUUGAGAGUUCCACUGUGUUGUCGUCGAAAGGGUUGAUGGCUCGAUUUAUCGUCAAGGAAACUAUCACCUUCGGAGGAGCUCUGGCCUCAGGCCAAACCUUUCGGCUGGGCGAUUUAUCAUGAUCACCCGUUUGGCCCUUGAGCCGACGAUGAUGACCUCUCGAGUCAUCGAAAAUCGCCUCUGCGUUGAUUCUGAAUACGCCAAAAAGAUGGAUCCGACGGUGUAAGUGCAUCUAGUGCCGCCCCUAGUUGGUUUUGGAGUAUUGACGACAAACCUGGUUGAGGGACUAAUGUGUUUGUGAGAAUUGCAGGAUAACACAGGUAGAAGUCCCUCAUUGAUUCGGUUUUCCUACCAGAGAUGACCCCUAAAAAUGUAUGAAGACAUUGAAGUCAAAGGUGGUAUGUGAAGACAUUCACAUUGAAGACUAUGACAAGAGAAGACAUCGCGUGAAGACUAUGGAGCGCGAAGACUUAGCUGUUUCAUCGUUCUUUUUCUUCUUCAUUGAGUCAUAGGAACCACCGUACUAUUAAGUGGGGUCCAAGAGAACCAGUCAGAAUGACUGAAGUGAUGCUUAACCAAAAUCCUAUGUCUUCGAGUGAGGACUAUGAGAGCAAAUCUUAUCCAGAGUUGGAUAAGUUAGCUUUGCUUGUAGCCCAAGUAAAGUUGCCGCGUGUGUUUGAAAUCUGACCGUUGGAACACGUGUCAGUUCCUUAGUGACCCAGGGUCAUUUCGGACAAAUCAGGUCGGGUUGCCUAGUGGCUAUAAAUAGCCCACCCCUACAACCAUAAAUGGUUGGCUGCUUAGAGUUAGUAUACGGCUUUUGUCGUUUGAGAGCAACCCACCUCGAAGCCUUUGAGAGAGAAUUCCUUGUGAGGAUAAAGCCCUAAA
rnacentral:rRNA from 1 species